rnacentral:misc_RNA from 1 species
GAUGAGAACGUAGCGAAAUGCGAUAAGUAAUGUGAAUUGCAGAAUUCAGUGAAUCAUCGAAUCUUUGAACGCACAUUGCGCCCCUUGGUAUUCCGAGGGGCAUGCCUGUUCGAGCGUCAUUAUAACCCUCAAGCUCAGCUUGGUGUUGGGGCCUGCUGCAGUGGCAGACCUUAAAAUCAGUGGCGGCGCCAUCUGGCUCUAAGCGUAGUAAUUCUUCUCGCUAUGGAGUCCUGGUGGAUGCUUGCCAUCAACCCCCAAUUUUUCUAUGGUUGACCUCGGAUCAGGUAGGGAUACCCGCUGAACUUAAGCAUAUCAAUAAGCGGAGGA